CCGCCCACGUCAGCGCCUGGCGCGGGCCCGAACAAACCACGGCAUGGAGACGGAAUGAUGCAGACUCCUAUCCGCGAGAUACCUGCUGUAAUUUCGCUGUGGUUCGUGAGGACGCGUCCUGGGCUGCCCUGAGAAGCCUACGUCUCCCCUUCGAGGCCCGGGAAGACCUCCAACCCCGCUGACAAUGCUGGGCCCUCAGCCAGACCUGCCCUGCGUGCCACGUUCUGUUCUAAGAUCGGGCUGCCGAGCUGUGGCCUGGAGGAAACCUGGCAGGUGUCACCAGAGCUUUGGGGAGGGUGAGGCCCUGUCGGGGAAGCCCAGUGGGAGUCAUGAAGGAGGGAACACGUGUGGAGCCCUUGUAGGGGGAGGGGCAGCCCUGCAGAGAUCUAAGAAAAAAUUCCAGAAAAAUGAGCAGCAACCUCCAAGGCCAGGCAUCGGUGCAGGGGACAAGGGGUCGUAGCUGGAGGGGCCUAGGUGAGGCUGCCGGGAAGGGACGAUGUGGUUGGUGGAGUGCACAGGCAGGGACCUCACUGGACUUUCCUGUCUGCUCAGCAUGGACAGGCAGCCCAGGAGAAGGCAGCACGUGGCCGGGUGCAGGGACGUACCACCCCCACUUCCCCAGGGGAGCUGGGGUCAGACGAGUCCCAGGCACUCCAUCCUCUGCAGCAAGUCAGGUUGUGAUUUACUAGGGGGUGGUGAAUAUAAUGGAGAGACUUCUGGGGAGGAAUUCCUGGCUCCCGCGUGGACUUGCAGAGCUCAACAGGCAGCCACGUGGCUGAGUGUCCAGCAAACAUCACAUAAGGCUUUGGGUCCUGCAGGUGGGGCUGCCAUGAGCAGCAAGCUCAGUCCAGAAGAACAGUUCCUCUCCAGGAUCCACUUCCUGCGCACUUUUAUGUGCAGUGUAGCUGGAGCAGAGCUCCCCGGAAUUCCACAGGCAACUGAGAACGGAGAGGGAUGCAGGCCAGCCAGGGAUCCAGCGUCUUCCCCAUCGUCACUCUCCAUGGCCUCCGUCUACACACAGUGUUCGUCUGCACAGCUUGUCAGCGCGUUAUCAUGACUUCUAUUUGGCACCGGCCCGUCUGUCCACUGUCCUGGCUUGUUCCAAGCGCUGCCUUCUCCAACUGGGGUCCUGGCUGCAGAGCUGUCUGCUCCCCACGUUGGGCAACUCCAGCCAAGAUUCCUACACCCAAAUGUGACCGUGUUGCUCACGAAGAAGGCUCAGCUUUGCGUGUGCCCAGCCGUGUGCACAGCUCGUCCCAACUCCUGCGGGUGGCACCUGCCUCUCCCACCUCCAGUCUUUCCCCUGUGAUGAGCAGAUGACCACCGCCCUCCAGGGUCAGCGUUUGGCUGUUUGUGUGCCUGCCCACCCGCCUCCCUGUGCCUGGGCCUGCCCUGUGCCUGCACACAGGAGUGGCUCAUGGCGUUUGCCCUACACGGAUGGGCUGUCCUGGGAGCUACUGGACAGUCACCUUGGUGGGAAUGCCAGAGGCAUGGGCAUUAGGUCCCCCCGGCCAGCCUCCGUUGCCACAUGGGCUAUUUUUGUCCAUCGCGUGGGACAACCUAGUAUUGGGGGAAAACUCAGUCCACUCUAAAGAAGCAUCGGCGUUUUGGAUGGACGAAUGCUGCUUCAUGCGACUCCAUGUCAAUGGACUAUUUUAUUCAACUCGGGUAUUUAUGAGUGUCUCCUCUGUGCCAGCCACGUGUGAAAGAAGAACUCCAAGUUACUGGACACCAGGACAAACCAGGUAGAUCACUGCAUCCGGUUCCUCCUCUUUCUGCCGACUCUCCCGGGCAACCGUUCUGAUUCCUGGCAUGGAGUUGGGGGCGAGCUCAUCAGUACCCAGAGCGCCUGGUGUGCAGCCAAAGGCCCCCAUUUUAUUAGUCGGUGUGUUCAGUAUCACGCUCAAGACAAGGGCCAACCUAUUACUUCACACACCUCAAAUACAAAAAGUGCCUGGGAACGUCGAUGAGGUAUUAAAGGAAACCACUGGUCUUGUCAGUCAUGUACACACAGAAAAAAAAACCAGUCAUUUUUAUUUUUAUUUUUUGAGACAGAGUUUCGCUCUUGUUGCCCAGGCUGGAGUGCAAUGGUGCAAUUUCAGCUCACUGCAAUCUCUGCCACCCGGAUUCAAGCAAUUCUCCUGUCUCAGCCUCCCGAGUAGCUGGAAUUGCAGACACCCAUCACCACGCCCAGCUAAUUUUAUGUAUUUUUAGUAGAGAUGGGGUUUCACCAUGUUGGUCAGGCUGGUCUUGAACUCCUGACCUCAGGUGAUCCACCCACGUCAGGCUCCCAAAGUGCUGAGAUUACAGGCAUGAACCACUGUGCCCAGCCGAAAACAACCAAGAAUUUUUUAACAAUAAAAUGACCAGCAAGUAAACUUGAAACAAAAAUGGACAAAUAUCUAAAAUAUUUUUAAAUGUAUGUAUUUUAAUUGGCAAAUAAUACUUGUAUAUAUUGUUUACAACUUGUUUUAAAGUAUGAAUACAUUGUGGAAUGGCUAAAUCAAGUUAAUUAACAUGCAUUAACUCACAUACUUUUUGUUUUUUGGUGUGGUGAGGACACUUAACAUCUACUCUCUUAGCAAUUUUCCAGUCACCAUGUCCUACUAUAGAUCCCUAGAACAUAUUCCUCCAAUGUAACUGAAAUGUAUCCCUUGACCAACAUCACUGCCCGGCCCCAGCCCCAGGUAAACACCAUUCUACCCUCUGCUUCUGUGAGUUCAGCUUUUCUAGAUUUCACCUGUGAGUGAGAUUGUGCAGCAUUUGUCUUUCUGUGCCUGGGUUUUUUCACAUAAUGCCCUUCUGGUUCAUCUAUAUUGUCAUAUAUGGUAGCAUUGUCUUCCUUUGUAAGGCUGACUGGUAUACCAUUGCGUAUAUACACCACAUUGUUUACCUAAAAUAUUUUUUAAUACAAUCGCUGAAAACUGCCA
rnacentral:lncRNA from 10 species